GAUCCUGCUCAGGACGAACGCUGGCGGCGUGCCUAACACAUGCAAGUCGAACGGAGAAUUUUAUUUCGGUAGAAUUCUUAGUGGCGAACGGGUGAGUAACGCGUAGGCAACCUGCCCUUUAGACGGGACAACAUUCCGAAAGGAGUGCUAAUACCGGAUGUGAUCAUCGUGCCGCAUGGCAGGAUGAAGAAAGAUGGCCUCUACAAGUAAGCUAUCGCUAAAGGAUGGGCCUGCGU
rnacentral:rRNA from 1 species